rnacentral:rRNA from 1 species
AGUAGGGAAUAUUGCGCAAUGGAGGAAACUCUGACGCAGCGACGCCGCGUGGGUGACGAAGGCUUUCGGGUCGUAAAGCCCUGUCGGAUGGGACGAAACGCCAUAUGGCUAAUAUCCAUGUGGUUUGACGGUACCAUUAGAGGAAGCACCGGCUAACUACGUGCCAGCAGCCGCGGUAAUACGUAGGGUGCAAGCGUUGUUCGGAAUCAUUGGGCGUAAAGCGCGUGUAGGUGGCUAGACAAGUCGGGUGUGAAAGCCCAGGGCUCAACUCUGGAAGUGCAUUCGAAACUAGCUGGCUAGAAGAUGGUAGAGGAAGGUGGAAUUCCAAGUGUAGAGGUGAAAUUCGUAGAUAUUUGGAGGAAUACCGGCGGCGAAGGCGGCCUUCUGGGCCAUUCUUGACACUGAGACGCGAAAGCGUGGGUAGCAAA